UUUCGGCUUGUCCCUGCUGUGUCUGCUGCGACCACAGGCCUAUCCACUCAACACUAUGGCUUCUCUGGUGAGCUUCAGGGUUUCCCUUGUGUCGGCUCCAGCUACUGUCCCCAAGUGAAACAGCUGCCACAUUCUCAUUCUUGAAGAUGAAUCCCAGAAUGGGCUGUUUCUUCCGAGAGGACAAUGUAACCUCCAAUUUGGCAGGUUUGCACUAAGAAACC